rnacentral:rRNA from 1 species
UACGUAGGGGGCAAGCGUUGUCCGGAAUUAUUGGGCGUAAAGAGCGCGUAGGCGGUCCGAUAAGUCGGCUGUGAAAGUCAGGGGCUCAACCCUUGAAAGCCGGCCGAUACUGUCGGACUAGAGUCCGGAAGAGGCGAGUGGAAUUCCCGGUGUAGCGGUGAAAUGCGCAGAUAUCAGGAGGAACACCCGUAGCGAAGGCGGCACUCUGGGCCGAUACUGACACUGAGGAGCGAAAGCGUGGGGAGCGAACAGG